rnacentral:misc_RNA from 1 species
GAAAUGCGAUAAGUAAUGUGAAUUGCAGAAUUCAGUGAAUCAUCGAAUCUUUGAACGCAUCUUGCGCUCCUUGGUAUUCUGAGGAGCAUGCCUGUUUGAGUGUCAUUAAAUUCUCAACUACACUGACUUUGAUUGGUGUGGCUUGGAUUUGGGGGUUGUGGGCUUUUUGUAGUCUGCUCCCCUGAAAUUAAUUAGCGGUACCUUGGUGGAACUGUCUACAGGUGUGAUAAUUAUCUACAUCCUAGACAUCUGCUGGAAUGCUGCUUUCUAGACCUUACUUGUAUUGACAAUCUUGACCUCAAAUCAGGUAGGACUACCCGCUGAACUUAA